rnacentral:pre_miRNA from 1 species
AAGGGAAAGGGAGAAGAGCUUGAGGAAGUGAUGGGAGAUGGGAGGGUCGGUAAAGAAUAUAUCUGAGACUCGACUCAAUCUCGAUCUCUCUCAGUGUUGUGUUGUUUUGUUUAUCCUUUUGCCGAUUCCACCCAUUCCUAUGAUUUCCUUCGGUUCCUCUCUUUCCACUC